UUUUUUUAUUUAACAUUGCGAAGUGAUUUUCACAUUAUAACUUAAAUUUAAAAAUUUUCAAAUUUCUCCCAUCUGCCAACCUGUAUACGUCUGAUCUUUUUAUUUUUAUUUUAUUUUAUUUUUCUCGUGUGCAAUUCUGACUCUCAAUUUCCGUUUGAUUCAUCGUCCAAAGCCAUGGAAAGUAGGGAUGAAGACGAUGAAUCUUUGUUUUGUGCGAGGG
rnacentral:lncRNA from 1 species